GUAGUCAUAUGCUUGUCUCAAAGAUUAAGCCAUGCAUGUGUAAGUAUAAGCGAUUGUACUGUGAGACUGCGAACGGCUCAUUAUAUCAGUAAUAAUUUCUUCGGUAGUUUCUUUUAUAUGGAUACCUGCAGUAAUUCUGGAAAUAAUACAUGCUGUAAGAGCCCUGUCUGGGGCUGCACUUAUUAGAUUGAAGCCGAUUUUAUUGGUGAAUCAUGAUAAUUGAGCAGAUUGACUAUUUUAGUCGAUGAAUCGUUUGAGUUUCUGCCCCAUCAGUUGUCGACGGUAGUGUAUUGGACUACGGUGACUAUAACGGGUGACGGAGAGUUAGGGCUCGACUCCGGAGAGGGAGCCUGAGAGACGGCUACCAUAUCCAAGGAUAGCAGCAGGCGCGUAAAUUACCCACUGUGGACUCCACGAGGUAGUGACGAGAAAUAUCGAUGCGAAGCGUGUAUGCGUUUUGCUAUCGGAAUGAGAGCAAUGUAAAACCCUCAUCGAGGAUCAACUGGAGGGCAAGUCUGGUGCCAGCAGCCGCGGUAAUUCCAGCUCCAGAAGCAUAUGCUAAAGUUGUUGCAGUUAAAAAGCUCGUAGUUGAAUUUCUGGCAUGGGCGACCGGUGCUUUCCCUGAAUGGGGAUUGAUUGUCUGUGUUGCCUUGGCCAUCUUUCUCAUGCUAUUUUGGUAUGAGAUCUUUCACUGUAAUCAAAGCAGAGUGUUCCAAGCAGGUCGUAUGACCGGUAUGUUUAUUAUGGGAUGAUAAGAUAGGACUUGGGUGCUAUUUUGUUGGUUUGCACGCCUGAGUAAUGGUUAAUAGGAACAGUUGGGGGUAUUCGUAUUUAGGAGCUAGAGGUGAAAUUCUUGGAUUUCCGAAAGACGAACUAGAGCGAAGGCAUUUACCAAGCAUGUUUUCAUUAAUCAAGAACGAAAGUCUGGGGAUCGAAGAUGAUUAGAUACCAUCGUAGUCUAGACCGUAAACGAUGCCGACUCGCGAUUGUUGGGUGCUUUAUUAUGGGCCUCAGCAGCAGCACAUGAGAAAUCAAAGUCUUUGGGUUCCGGGGGGAGUAUGGUCGCAAGGCUGAAACUUAAAGGAAUUGACGGAAGGGCACCACCAGGAGUGGAGCCUGCGGCUUAAUUUGACUCAACACGGGAAAACUUACCAGGUCCAGACAUAGGUAGGAUUGACAGAUUGAGAGCUCUUUCAUGAUUCUAUGGGUGGUGGUGCAUGGCCGUUCUUAGUUGGUGGAGUGAUUUGUCUGGUUAAUUCCGUUAACGAACGAGACCUCGGCCUACUAAAUAGUGCGUGGUAUGGCAACAUAGUACGUUUUUACUUCUUAGAGGGACAUGUCCGGUUUACGGGCAGGAAGUUCGAGGCAAUAACAGGUCUGUGAUGC
rnacentral:rRNA from 1 species